UCAGAACGAACGCUGGCGGCAGGCUUAACACAUGCAAGUCGAACGAGCCUUCGGGCUUAGUGGCGGACGGGUGAGUAACGCGUGGGAACGUGCCCCUUGGUACGGAAUAGUCCCGGGAAACUGGGUUUAAUACCGUAUAUUCUCUGCGGAGGAAAGAUUUAUCGCCAAGGGAUCGGCCCGCGUUGGAUUAGGUAGUUGGUGGGGUAAUGGCCUACCAAGCCCGCGAUCCAUAGCUGGUUUGAGAGGAUGAUCAGCCACACUGGGACUGAGACACGGCCCAGACUCCUACGGGAGGCAGCAGUGGGGAAUCUUAGACAAUGGGGGAAACCCUGAUCUAGCCAUGCCGCGUGAGCGAUGAAGGCCUUAGGGUUGUAAAGCUCUUUCGCUGGGGAAGAUAAUGACGGUACCCAGUAAAGAAGCCCCGGCUAACUCCGUGCCAGCAGCCGCGGUAAUACGGAGGGGGCUAGCGUUGUUCGGAAUUACUGGGCGUAAAGCGCGCGUAGGCGGAUUGGAAAGUUGGGGGUGAAAUCCCGGGGCUCAACCCCGGAACUGCCUCCAAAACUAUCAGUCUGGAGUUCGAGAGAGGUGAGUGGAAUUGCGAGUGUAGAGGUGAAAUUCGUAGAUAUUCGCAGGAACACCAGUGGCGAAGCGGCUCACUGGCUCGAUACUGACGC
rnacentral:rRNA from 1 species